GGCAGAAGAUGGAGGUGAGCUGAUCUGUACUCCUGGAAAGGAAUACCACAGGAGCUCUUUCUGCCAGUGGCCUGUCUAUAGUCAUCUGACCAAGCCUGUAAAGAAGGGACUUGCAACUCUCUGAAGGUUGAUGCCAUGAAAGAGAUUACUAGAACCAUUUUGGGAUACGGUUUUUGUGUGACAGCACAGAACGAAUUCUGUAGCAAGACUUUUGCUUCUUCCUGAUAAAUCAAGUCCCAUUCUCAUGUGACAAGGUAGCCCUUAAAUGUGAUGAAUCCCUUGGAGAACAUCUUUUCCUCAGAAAAACAUUGGGCCUGACUAACUAAAAUACAACCUGUUGUCCUUUAGCAGGAAGAGCAUAUUAAACUUCCCUUUGGUUCAAAGCAACCUGUUCGUGAGCCUUCACGGCUCAUUUCAAGGCUCAUCUUUCCUCCCUUGCCUGUGAGAAGAUGAGUGACGGGUAGUAGUGGUUUGGGACUGGGGAUUUUUGUCAUCAUUAUGUUUUUCGGGGGCAUUCUUCGACUUAAUCCUAUAGUCAUUGAUGAUUUCAUUUAUAAAUGUUCAUACUUCCAAAAUUCUCAGUUGCCUAGAACAUUGGACUGGCUUUCUUUUAUUGAGUUACCUGCGUGUAGUAUCUAGAUAAAUCAAUGAGAAUUAAAUAUAUUUAAGUGAGAUUAGAAUCAGGAUGUAUGACUGAAGAAGCUCUUAGAAGAUCAGCUUGUAUGAUCUUUCAUGGAUGUUCUGUUUGCAUAGAAGCUGGGUGCUUCUUUUGCUGAAUUAUGUCUUAAGUUUCUCUCAGAUAUUUGGUUUUAAGUCAAAAUAUUUUUCUUUAAAAUUUGAUGAAAUAUGAGAUGAAAAAGGGUUCUAGUUAUUGAAAACAUACCCCAAAGUAUAAAACAUAAUUCAUUUGCAAGACACAGACCUCAGACUCUAGUAAGUUUACUUUAUAUUUUGCUUUUAAUUUGCAUUUAAAUAAAAAAUCCUCAAAACAAAAAGCCAAGAUUUUUUUUUCUACUGAAUCAGAGCU